GACGAACGCUGGCGGCGCGCUUAACACAUGCAAGUCGAACGGAAAGGCCUGCUUUCCCUUGUGGAUUGCGGGUACUCGAGUGGCGAACGGGUGAGUAACACGUGAGUGAUCUGCCCCCAACUUGGGUAUAAGCCUGGGAAACUGGGUCUAAUUCCCGAUAGGACUGCAGGGUGGUGCCUGUGGUGGAAAACGAUUUUCUAGUGGUUGGGGAUGAGCUCGCGGCCUAUCAGCUUGUUGGUGGGGUAAUGGCCUACCAAGGCGGCGACGGGUAGCCGGCCUGAGAGGGUGGACGGCCACAUUGGGACUGAGACACGGCCCAGACUCCUACGGGAGGCAGCAGUGGGGAAGAGUGCACAAUGGGCGGAAGCCUGAUGCAGCGACGCCGCGUGGGGGAUGACGGCCUUCGGGUUGUAAACUCCUUUCGACCGCGAGGAAGCCACCUGGUUGGAAGGGUGGUGACGGUAGUGGUAGAAGAAGCACCGGCUAACUACGUG
rnacentral:rRNA from 1 species